rnacentral:rRNA from 1 species
UUUCAAACGAGAGUUUGAUCCUGGCUCAGAAUCAACGCUGGCGGCGUGCCUAACACAUGCAAGUCGAACGAGAAAGUCCCCGCAAGGGGAUGAGUAAAGUGGCGACCGGGUGAGUAACACGUGACCAAUCUACCCUUGAGUGGGGGAUAACUCCGGGAAACCGGAGCUAAUACCGCAUAACAUCUUUGGGAUGCAGGUCCUGAGGAUCAAAGGAGCAAUUCGCUUAAGGAGGAGGUCGCGGCUGAUUAGCUAGUUGGUAGGGUAAUGGCCUACCAAGGCUGAGAUCGGUAGCCGGCCUGAGAGGGCGCACGGCCACACUGGAACUGAAACACGGUCCAGACUCCUACGGGAGGCAGCAGUGGGGAAUUUUGCGCAAUGGGGGAAACCCUGACGCAGCAACGCCGCGUGGAG